CCGCCAUACUGUAUUUUGUAGUAACUCAUUUUUAUUCCUCCCUUUUACUCCCGCUCGUGGAAGGUUUUCCUGGAGAAUGAAGUGCGGUUUGGUUUCCUUGUCAACGGAAGAUGAAGUGAACAACUGAGCAUCUCCCCAGUGCAGACUUGCUGGACCUUCCCUCCUGCUCUGGACCUCUCCCCUGGCGUCGACACAGCUCAGAAGGAUGAAAGAAAAAGAAGCAAUAGGAGAGGGAUGGAAGAGGGGAGAGGAGUAAAAGGAGGAGGAAGGCAGCAAUUGAAAUGGAGAAAAAUUCAGCAGCGUUUCAGUCUAUUUCCACCACAAAUGCCUCCUGCCUAAACAAAGUACCAGCGGAGCCAGAACUUGAAAUCAUGGAUUCUUGAAAAGGGGUAUUUCCUGGGUGAAGGUUUCAUUUGUCCGGUAACC
rnacentral:lncRNA from 1 species